UACGGAGGGUGCGAGCGUUGUCCGGAAUCAUUGGGCGUAAAGGGCGCGUAGGUGGCCUGGUCAGUUCGUGGUGAAAGCGCGGGGCUCAACCCCGCGUCGGCCAUGAAUACUGCUAGGCUUGAGCACUGUAGAGGCAGGCGGAAUCCGGGUGUAGCGGUGGAAUGCGUAGAGAUCCGGAAGAACACCGGUGGCGAAGGCGGCCUGCUGGGCAGUAGCUGACACUGAGGCGCGACAGCGUGGGGAGCAAACAGG
rnacentral:rRNA from 1 species